UUUGCACUUUUUUGGGAAAACUCCUUCAACACACACUCCGGACUCCAAAUAAUGUAGUUAAAAAGCUAAAUUCAAAUAUGAUUUUACCUCAAGUUAAAAAUCAUUUACCAAGAUUCAAACCUCUCAAACAGUUUAGAACUCAUCAAGAAGUAAUCAUAAUUCAUAAUGAUCGAAUAAAAUCAGAACCAUUAUUUUGUACUUAAGUAAUCAUUGAUAGGACGUUAAACUUAAUAGUCAUAAUUUAUCAAUAGGCCACAUACUUCCAUGGGCUAUUAUGUACACCAAUACUUUUUAAUAGGGUCGGAUGCAAAGAAAGGUGGUAUCUCAAUUUUGUUGGGUUUUAAUCAUCAAGGGAAUUUCGAAAAGGUGGCCUCCCAAAUUUGUGCUUCUUCGAGUAUCAUAAUUGACUUCAAUCGUUCGUCGCGUAGAUUUUCCGAAUUCUUUCAUCAAUUUUGGGGACUGGUAGUAUUUAGUAAAUAACUUUUGAUUUUUUGCGAUUUUGAAGUUAUGAUUUAUAGCGCACAAUAUGUAUAUGUGAGUGCUUUAUAAUGAUUUUUUAAAAAAAAUGAAUUCACUUUAUAUUGUAAAGGAGCUACUCUCUUUAUUGCCAUAUGAUUUUAAGGUGCAACCUUCUUUAUUUUAUCACUUGUGUCUCUCCUUAUGAUGGGUGCGGCCUAGGUCCAUAUUUAACACGCGGCUUUUAGUUUUUGCACAUAGUAGGAAAAAUGAUAAUAAAUAGUGAAAGUAUUGGGUCAGACCGUCUGACCAUAAGUUAUGGUCAGACGAGUCCAACCCAAUACUAAAAUUUCGUGUUCUUUCCUGUCAGUCCCUUAGAUUUUUUGCAUAUCAAAGGGAUAUGGAAAUUGCAGAUCUGAAGGUCAAACUGGAUGAUGGCGCAACAAAAACGAUUCAGUCAUUCUUUUAGCAGAUGAAGCCAUCCAAGUUUAAACAUGCGAAAUUAUAUCAUAUGAUAGAUUCUUCUUCUUCAAUGAUGCGACGAAUAAUCUGGGCUGAGUUCAAAUUUCUUUCUUCAAUUUGGAGUGCCUUGAAGAUCCAGUGUUGUGUAUACUCCAAUACUUUCAUUUGGAGGUAAGUUACUUUUAUUUAAAGGUAACUUACUUUCAUUUAGAGAGGUAACUUACUUUUAUUUGGAGGUAACUUACUUUCAUUUAGAGGUAAGUUACUUUCAUUUAGAGGUAAGAUAAGUAACUGAACUUAGAAGACAUCCAACUGAAAAAAAUUUGAAAUCAACUGAACAAAAAAAAUUAAGACUAACUGAAAAAAAUGAAGACUAACUGAAAAAAAAUUAAGACUAACUGAAAAAAAUUAAGACUAACUGAAAAAAAAUGGAGACUAACUGAAAAAAAUUAAGACUAACUGAAAAAAAAAUGAAAACCAACUGAAAAAAAAAAUGAAGACUAACUGAAAAAAAAUAAA